GGCAACGUGGCGGAGUGGUUAUCGCGCUAGCCUAGAAUACAAUUAUUCUUAAGCUAGUUCCUUCGGGAGCGUCAGUUCGAAUCUGGCCGUUGUCG
rnacentral:tRNA from 1 species